rnacentral:rRNA from 2 species
AAGAAGGUAACUUUGGUUUUGGCUCUUGUCUAUGUUCCUUGGAACAGGACGUCACAGAGGGUGAGAAUCCCGUGCGAUGAGAUGCCCAAUUCCAUGUAAAGUGCUUUCGAAGAGUCGAGUUGUUUGGGAAUGCAGCUCUAAGUGGGUGGUAAAUUCCAUCUAAAGCUAAAUAUUGGCGAGAGACCGAUAGCGAACAAGUACAGUGAUGGAAAGAUGAAAAGAACUUUGAAAAGAGAGUGAAAAAGUACGUGAAAUUGUUGAAAGGGAAGGGUUUGAGAUCAGACUUGGUAUUUUGUAUGUUUUACUCUCGGGUGAGGCCUCUGCAGUUUACUGGGCCAGCAUCAGUUUGGAUGGUAGGAUAAUGACAUUGGAAUGUGGCUCUU